rnacentral:rRNA from 1 species
UACGAAGGGGGCUAGCGUUGCUCGGAAUUACUGGGCGUAAAGCGCACGUAGGCGGAUUGUUAAGUCGGGGGUGAAAUCCUGGAGCUCAACUCCAGAACUGCCUUCGAUACUGGCGAUCUCGAGUUCGGGAGAGGUGAGUGGAACUGCGAGUGUAGAGGUGAAAUUCGUAGAUAUUCGGAAGAACACCAGUGGCGAAGGCGGCUCACUGGUCCGGUACUGACGCUGAGGAGCGAAAGCGUGGGGAGCAAACAGG